AGUUGAUCCUGGCUCAGAACGAACGCUGGCGGCGUGCUUAACACAUGCAAGUCGAACGAGGUCUUCGGACCGAGUGGCGGACGGGUGAGUAAUACAUAGGCAACCUGCCCAUCAAUGGGGGAUACCCAGCCGAAAGGUUGGCUAAUACCGCAUACGCUCAUCAUCUGGGAUGGUGAUGAGGAAAGAUUUAUCGUUGAUGGAUGGGCCUGUGGUCGAUUAGCUAGUUGGUGAGGUAAUGGCUCACCAAGGCGACGAUCGAUAGCUGGUCUGAGAGGAUGAUCAGCCACACUGGGACUGAGACACGGCCCAGACUCCUACGGGAGGCAGCAGUGGGGAAUUUUCCGCAAUGGGCGAAAGCCUGACGGAAGCGACGCCGCGUGGAGGAUGACGGUCUUCGGAUUGUAAACUCCUGUCAAGGGGGACGAUGAUGACGGUACCCCUGGAGGAAGCAUCGGCUAACUACGUGCCAGCAGCCGC
rnacentral:rRNA from 1 species